UACGUAGGGUGCAAGCGUUAAUCGGAAUUACUGGGCGUAAAGCGUGCGCAGGCGGUUUUGUAAGUCUGUCGUGAAAUCCCCGGGCUCAACCUGGGAAUUGCGAUGGAGACUGCACGGCUAGAGUGUGUCAGAGGGGGGUAGAAUUCCACGUGUAGCAGUGAAAUGCGUAGAGAUGUGGAGGAAUACCGAUGGCGAAGGCAGCCCCCUGGGAUAACACUGACGCUCAUGCACGAAAGCGUGGGGAGCAAACAGG
rnacentral:rRNA from 1 species